ensembl:lncRNA
CUGUGGGGCCCAACUCGCCCUUUGGAAAGAAGCCUGCACGUUGUGCCUUUCAGCUCUAGGGCAAUGUAGCACACCCAGAGCAGAAGUCCUACUUCAGCCAGAUCAGGCCUGCAAAGAAACUGCGUUUCACAGGCCUUUUGACAGAUGUUCCCACUAGGCUGUAAGAGCACUGUGCAGAGCGAGUUGUUUCUUAGCUUCCCAAAGAGCUGGAAGCAAGAUGCUGUGGGGCCCAACUCGCCCUUUGGAAAGAAGCCUGCACGUUGUGCCUUUCAGCUCUAGGGCAAAGUAGCACACCCAGAGCAGAAGUCCUACUUCAGCCAGAUCAGGCCUGCAAAGAAGCUGCGUUUCACAGGCCUUUGGAAGAGAUGUUCCCGGUAGGCUGUAAGAGCACUGUGCAGAGCGAGUUGUUUCUUAGCUUCCCAAAGAGCUGGAAGCAAGAUGCUGUGGGGCCCAACUCGCCCUUUGGAAAGAAGCCUGCACGUUGUGCCUUUCAGCUCUAGGGCAAUGUAGCACACCCAGAGCAGAAGUCCUACUUCAGCCAGAUCAGGCCUGCAAAGAAACUGCGUUUCACAGGCCUUUGGACGAGAUGUUCCCGGUAGGCUGUAAGAGCACUGUGCACAGCGAGUUGUUUCUUAGCUUCCCAAAGAGCUGGAAGCAAGAUGCUGUGGGGCCCAACUCGCCCUUUGGAAAGAAGCCUGCACGUUGUGCCUUUCAGCUCUAGGGCAAAGUAGCACACCCAGAGCAGAAGUCCUACUUCAGCCAGAUCAGGCCUGCAAAGAAACUGCGUUUCACAGGCCUUUGGAAGAGAAGUUCCCGGUAGUUUGUAAGAGCACUGUGCAGAGCGAGUUGUUUCUUAGCUUCCCAAAGAGCUGGAAGCAAGAUGCUGUGGGGCCCAACUCGCCCUUUGGAAAGAAGCCUGCACGGUGUGCCUUUCAGCUCUAGGGCAAUGUAGCACACCCAGAGCAGAAGUCCUACUUCAGCCAGAUCAGGCCUGCAAAGAAACUGCGUUUCACAGGCCUUUGGAAGAGAUGUUCCCGGGAGGCUGUAAGAGCACUGUGCAGAGCGAGUUGUUUCUUAGCUUCCCAAAGAGCUGGAAGCAAGAUGCUGUUGGGCCCAAAUCGCCCUUUGGAAAGAAGCCUGCACGUUGUGCCUUUCAGAUCUAGGGCAAAGUAGCACACCCAGAGCAGAAGUCCUACUUCAGCCACAUCAGGCCUGCAAAGAAACUGCGUUUCACAGGCCUUUGGAAGAGAUGUUCCCGGUAGGCUGUAAGAGCACUGUGCAGAGCGAGUUGUUUCUUAGCUUCCCAAAGAGCUGGAAGCAAGAUGCUGUGGGGCCCAACUCGCCCUUUUUAAAGAAGCCUGCACGGUGUUCCUUUCAGCUCUAGGGCCGUGUAGCACUCCCAGAGCAGAAGUCCUACUUCAGCCAGAUCAGGCCUGCAAAGAAACUGCGUUUCACAGGCCUUUGGAAGAGAUGUUCCCGGUAGGCUGUAAGAGCACUGUGCAGAGCGAGUUGUUUCUUAGCUUCCCAAAGAGCUGGAAGCAAGAUGCUGUGGGGCCCAACUCGCCCUUUGGAAAGAAGCCUGCACGUUGUGCCUUUCAGCUCUAGGGCAAAGUAGCACACCCAGAGCAGAAGUCCUACUUCAGCCAGAUCAGGCCUGCAAAGAAACUGCGUUUCACAGGCCUUUGGAAGAGAAGUUCCCGGUAGGCUGUAAGAGCACUGAGCAGAGCGAGUUGUUUCUUAGCUUCCCAAAGAGCUGGAAGCAAGAUGCUGUGGGGCCCAACUCGCCCUUUGGAAAGAAGCCUGCACAUUGUUCCUUUCAGCUCUAGGGCAAUGUAGCACACCCAGAGCAGAAGUCCUACUUCAGGCAGAUCAGGCCUGCAAAGAAACUGCGUUUCACAGGCCUUUGGAAGAGAUGUUCCCACUAGGCUGUAAGAGCACUGAGCAGAGCGAGUUGUUUCUUAGCUUCCCAAAGAGCUGGAAGCAAGAUGCUGUGGGGCACAACUCGCCCUUUGGAAAGAAGCCUGCACGGUGUUCCUUUCAGCUCUAGGGCAAUGUAGCACUCCCAGAGCAGAAGUCCUACUUCAGCCAGAUCAGGCCUGCAAAGAAACUUCGUUUCACAGGCCUUUGGAAGAGAUGUUCCCGGUAGGCUGUAAGAGCACUGUGCAGAGCGAGUUGUUUCUUAGCUUCCCAAAGAGCUGGAGGAAGAUGCUGUGGGGCCCAAAUCGCCCUUUGGAAAGAAGCCUGCAUGGUGUGCCUUUCAGCUCUAGGGCAAUGUAGCACACCCAGAGCAGAAGUCCUACUUCAGCCAGAUCAGGCCUGCAAAGAAACUGCGUUUCACAGGCCUUUGGAAGAGGUGUUCCCGGUAGGCUGUAAGAGCACUGAGCAGAGCGAGUUGUUUCUUAGCUUCCCAAAGAGCUGGAAGCAAGAUGCUGUGGGGCCCAACUCGCCCUUUGGAAAGAAGCCUGCACGUUGUGCCUUUCAGCUCUAGGGCAAAGUAGCACACCCAGAGCAGAAGUCCUACUUCAGCCUGAUCAGGCCUGCAAAGAAACUGCGGAGACCCCCAAGGCCCAAGGCCCCCACCCCCACCACCACAGAUCACUGUGGAAGCCUUAACGACCCAAGGCUCCAGCUACAUACACACGCUCUUAGGAGGCAAGAUACACCAAGGGCUUAUGUGGGUUGCCACUUUUGGUGGUUGUUUCCGUGGCGUGUGAGUUUUGGAACCCGCCACGCCAUUUUUCACAGAGGCCAUACCGUUUCCCUUCACCACCAGUGAGGCGUGAGUGACUGACUUGGCUUCUCCGCGACCUCACUAGCAGUUUGAUCCUGUUCCUGUAUUUGGAAGAAGGCAGUCUCACCCAUGUGUCCCCACAAUGUCUCCCUCUAAUUUUCUCACUUGCUUUUCCAGGGAACAGCUCACAUCUUUUCAUGCGCUUAUCGGUCAUCCAUGCGUACCUCCUCCUCCCCAGGUGAAAGUGCCUGCUCUGUCUAUUGGUCUUCCAUUGUAUUUGUAUUUUUCAGUGUUGAUUUCCCCCGGGUCUCCACUCCAUUGUGGGUUUUGUUUUUUGUUUUUUGUUUUUUUGUUUUUUUUGCUUAAAGAUUGCCACCUGAGCCAGCCCCUGUUGCCCAUCUU